GGGUGUGUGUGGACUUUCUCUCUAUCUGAAUGGCUGGGAGGCGGGUCUUGGGGUGAUUGUUGGCCCUAUAAGAUAAUGCUCUACUGUUUCCUCAGGUCUGCCAGAUUUUAAUGAAUGGGCCAGCAGAGACCCUACGGACCGACAGAGCGGGGCUGGAAGAGAGCCGUGCUCGACUUGGAAAAAAAAGAAAAAAGACAACGCCAAAAGAAGCGGGGAAAAUAAAUGGGCAGAACCCCGAAUUGUAUAGAGUAGUGAGGGAACAGGGUGAGUGUAGGACGGAGUCCCGGGCCGUGCGGCUAGCGACGGUUGGGGUUUGUUUUGGCUGCUGAGUGCAGUACCUUUAUUUUGUAGAUUUUUUGUAUUUGUUUUCUUUUUGCCUUCUGUUUUCUUAUGAUUUAUUGCGAUGGCGUGUGCGCUAUAGGUGAGCACUGAGACACCUUUACCAUCGUUAGUAACAACGGUGUCUCAGUGCCACCUUGUGGCGAGAAAUAAAUAGUGCACCCAAGGGGUGUUUAGAAACCCAGCUUUCUGUCUCCGGUGUCAGUGAUUUCCCCCACCCUUCCACAUACCCGGUGUCAGUUGUCCUUCCUGCUUCUGCCGUGACGUCACCACUCGUCAUUCCUGUCACAGGGAGCUACAACAAUUUCCACUGCUGAUGAAACAGUCUGGUGGCACUGUGCCUGCGUCUUUACGCACUGAGUUUACCCGGCACAUGAACAUACUUCGGGAGGAAAUUAAAUCCCGUUUUGCCGAUGUUGACGAAUACUUAUCAAAGGAAUCGUGGGUGAUGGACCCUUACAUUUGCAGUCUUGAGGACGUGGAAUACCUCGGCUGUGAAGAUGAGUUUGCUGACCUUCAAGCCGAUUCUGUGUCAAAGAAAUAUUUCCACGAGAACGGAUACAAAAAGUUUUGGAUUGUCAAAGGACACGCUGUUGCACCCAGACUGGCCAAACACGCAGCUACAAGGGUUAUUCUACCAUUCAGCACCACGUACCUGUCUGAGACGGCCUUCAGCGCGCUUCUAACAAUAAAAACAAAAGCCCGUAACAGGCUCGAUGUCCACCAGGACUUUAGGCUGGCUGUCACUAGCAUCACACCUGACAUCCCAUCCCUGGUCAGAGGUAUGCAGGCCCAAGGUGGCCAUUAGUUUUUUAAGGAAGGAAAAAGUUAUUGAUUGUAACUUACUGUUUGUUAUUGUUACUUAUUGUUAUUUUUAUAACACAUACAUUAUAGCUGUGUCAAAACCAGUGUUCACAUGAUGUGCAUCUGUGUAUGCAACAAACUGCCCCGUUUCAGUUAACUGGUCUGAGGGAGAUCUAGGACAGAGCUAUAUAGGUGCUGUUAAUCACUUAUUACGCUGAUAAUGAAUCAUUAUUAUUCUUUUGGUAAAUUAUACACAAAGAUAACCAGGGCGAACCAAAGAGAAAAGGAAAGAAAAACUAUAAUUGAUGUAAAUUUUUGCCAAUAAA